GCCGCGUGAGCGAUGAAGGCCUUCGGGUCGUAAAGCUCUGUUGUCAGAGAAGAACAAGUACCGGAGUAACUGCCGGUACCUUGACGGUACCUGACCAGAAAGCCACGGCUAACUACGUGCCAGCAGCCGCGGUAAUACGUAGGUGGCAAGCGUUAUCCGGAAUUAUUGGGCGUAAAGCGCGCGCAGGCGGUUCCUUAAGUCUGAUGUGAAAGCCCACGGCUCAACCGUGGAGGGUCAUUGGAAACUGGGGAACUUGAGUGCAGGAGAGAAAAGUGGAAUUCCACGUGUAGCGGUGAAAUGCGUAGAGAUGUGGAGGAACACCAGUGGCGAAGGCGGCUUUUUGGCCUGUAACUGACGCUGAGGCGCGAAAGCGUGGGGAGCAAACAGGAUUAGAUACCCUGGUAGUCCACGCCGUAAACGAUGAGUGCUAGGUGUUGGGGGGUUCCACCCUCAGUGCUGACGUUAACACAUUAAGCACUCCGCCUGGGGAGUACGGCCGCAAGGCUGAAACUCAAAGGAAUUGACGGGGGCCCGCACAAGCAGUGGAGCAUGUGGUUUAAUUCGAAGCAACGCGAAGAACCUUACCAGGUCUUGACAUCCUCUGACCACUCUAGAGAUAGAGCUUUCCCCUUCGGGGGACAGAGUGACAGGUGGUGCAUGGUUGUCGUCAGCUCGUGUCGUGAGAUGUUGGGUUAAGUCCCGCAACGAGCGCAACCCUUGAUCUUAGUUGCCAGC
rnacentral:rRNA from 1 species